rnacentral:rRNA from 1 species
UACGGGGGGGGCAAGCGUUGUUCGGAAUUACUGGGCGUAAAGGGCUCGUAGGCGGCCAACUAAGUCAGACGUGAAAUCCCUCGGCUUAACCGGGGAACUGCGUCUGAUACUGGAUGGCUUGAGAUUGGGAGAGGGAUGCGGAAUUCCAGGUGUAGCGGUGAAAUGCGUAGAUAUCGAUCGGAACACCCGUGGCGAAGGCGGCUUGCUGGCUCGCAACUGACGCUGAGGCGCGAAAGCGUGGGGAGCAAACAGG